UUGAAGGAAAAAAACGUAACAAGGUUUCCGUAGGUGAACCUGCGGAAGGAUCAUUGUCGAAACCUGCCCAGCAGAAAGACCCGUGAACAUGUUGUUUAUCACUAAGGGCGAGGGAAGCACACGCGCUCGGACCCUCAUUGCUUUGUGUGUGUGUCGGCUUCGGCACACGCUCUAGGCAUCAAACCUAAACCCGGCGCGGAUUGCGUCAAGGAAAAUCAAACAAACGAGCAAGGUUGGGGAGGCACCGGAAACGGUUUGCCCUCAACAACUUAUUCGUGAAUGGCAUAAGUCAAAACGACUCUCGGCAACGGAUAUCUCGGCUCUCGCAUCGAUGAAGAACGUAGCGAAAUGCGAUACUUGGUGUGAAUUGCAGAAUCCCGUGAACCAUCGAGUCUUUGAACGCAAGUUGCGCCCGAAGCCUUUUGGCCGAGGGCACGUCUGCCUGGGCGUCACACACCGUUGCCCCCCAAUCCCCACUGUCUUCAUGGCGCGGGGGUCUGUCGGGGGCGGAUGAUGGCCUCCUGUGAUUGUUUUCAUUGCGGUUGGCCUAAAUACGAGUCCUCCGUCACGCCAAGUGGCAAAAGGUGGUUGUCGAUUAUCCGGUGCCCCGUUGCUUGGCGUGGUCGACAUUUGAGACUUUAAAUGACCCCUAACGCACCUUUUUUGGUGCCUCCAACGCGACCCCAGGUCAGGCGGGGCUACCCGCUGAGUUUAAGCAUAUCAAA
rnacentral:rRNA from 1 species